rnacentral:rRNA from 1 species
UACGGAGGAUGCAAGCGUUAUCCGGAAUGAUUGGGCGUAAAGCGUCCGCAGGUGGCUGUGUAAGUCUGCUGUUAAAGAGUGAGGCUCAACCUCAUAAAGGCAGUGGAAACUACAUGGCUAGAGUGCGUUCGGGGCAGAGGGAAUUCCUGGUGUAGCGGUGAAAUGCGUAGAUAUCAGGAAGAACACCGGUGGCGAAAGCGGCUCUCUGGGACGGUACUGACGCUGAGACGCGAAAGCGUGGGGAGCGAACAGG